rnacentral:rRNA from 1 species
UACGGGGGGGGCAAGCGUUGUUCGGAAUUACUGGGCGUAAAGGGCUCGUAGGCGGCCAACUAAGUCAGACGUGAAAUCCCUCGGCUUAACCGGGGAACUGCGUCUGAUACUGGAUGGCUUGAGUGUGGGAGAGGGAUGCGGAAUUCCAGGUGUAGCGGUGAAAUGCGUAGAUAUCUGGAGGAACACCGGUGGCGAAGGCGGCAUCCUGGACCAAUUCUGACGCUGAGGGAGCGAAAGCCAGGGGGAGCAAACGGG